rnacentral:lncRNA from 1 species
GAAAUGGGAUAUGUGAUUUCUAAAAUGUCACCUUAGGAUUUCACUUAUGUAUGCCAAUAUACUAGGCAGUCAUAAGUAGGUGAAGAAGCAAACAUGACAUUUACAGGUAAUGGGUUAGGAUCCCUGUUUUAUAAUUCAAUUUCCUUGCUGAAUCUUGAACAAGCUGUCUACCCUCUCUGAUACUUUCUAAUCUGAAGAACAGAGACAUUAUUUCUAUUGAAUAUAUUUACUUACUUUUAAAAAUUGACGAUUAUGUAUAUUUAUGGGAGAUAAGUGCUAUUUUGGUGGGUUUUUUUGGGUACCGGAGAUCAAACUCAGGACUUUGUGCUUGUGAAGCAGGCGGCAGCACCACUGAGCUAAAUUCCUGGCCCUGUAAGUGCUAUUUUGAUUUAUAUAAGUCCUCCAGUCUAAUAAAACUUUUUAUCCUGUGAUCAAUAUCUCUCUCCCCCCACCUUCCAUGACUUUGGUAACUACUUUUUCCUAUUUCUAUGAAAUACUUUUUUUUUAGAUUCCACAUAGAAGUGAGAUAUUCAUUUUGAAUUUAAUUCUUUUGACAUAGGGUCUCCAGGCUCAGCUGGUCCUCUUGGCCUCCUGGGUGGCUGGGACUACUGAUGCUUGCCAUUGUACCUGCCUUAAUUUGUUUUUAAUGUGCUUCAUUCAGAAGAUUUGAAGCUGUGACAAAAGUGUGACUAAAAUAAGAAGAUGAGAAAACCAAUGUGGUUGGAAGAUAAGGAUAAGCCAACAAAAAAGUGGAGUAACUUCAGAGCACCAGUAAGUCAUGUUUGAGAGAAUACAGCCCCAGGAAUCACGUAUGAAGAAUCCUGACGUGAAACACUGUGCUACAGUGAUAAUGAGCAACAGAACCUUUCUCAGGAUCUUCUGGGUCUUCCCUGAAACUCCAUUUUCGAGUGCGGCACUCACCUUGUCCACUGAUGGGUACAGGGCAAAGAGCUCAGCCUGCCGAUUGGUCCUCCGGGCUUCUUCAUUCUGCUUCUCAAAGUCCUCGGAGCUCACGCUUUGCAGCAGGUUUUCGAGCCGUUGGUCGGGCGGCAGGCUGCGGAGGUUGAAUUCAAAAGCAGUGAAGGGGCCUUUCCCAGACACGUCGCACAGCACGUUUAAGCGGCAGGGGCCUGUCUGUGAGAGAAGGCAGUGGGCCUUUGUGAGAGAGAGCACACACGGAUGAGAAUUAAAGACUGUGGCGUUUCAAGACGUCUACUCCAACUUGGAUCCAGAGGGGCUCAGGCCUCAAGAAGUUUUCUGUGUAAACAGGGGCUUUGCUAAUCAUGGUGGCAGGUAGUCACUCAUCAGAUGCGGACAAACCAGUCCUGAGAAAGGGUUUGAGCACUGUGCUUCUAUUAGUUGGUGGCUUGUUCUUUCCUGCAGAGUGGGAGCUCAGUCUCUCAGGAACACACUUACAUUUCAUGCUCAAACCUGAGGUGGGAUAAAGGGUAAUAAAAAGAAAAUGGACAGGGGGGCCGGGGAUUUAGCCCAGUGGUUCCAGCGCCUGCCUUGCAAGGUAAGGUCCUGAGUUCCUCACCGGUACCAAAAAAAAAAAAAAAAAAAAAAAAAAAAAAAAGGAAAAAAAAAAGAAAAUGGACUGGGAAACAGCCUGUGUCCCAGUCUCGAGGACUCCAGAAUCUGGUUUUUGAAAUGGUAACAUAAGAUGAUCUCUGAGGAGCCUUUCAGAUUAAACUACCUAAAGCUGAAUGUCAUGUUUCCAGAGACAAAGAAUUUGCAGGAUCUACUUGUAGCUUCAGGGAGCGUGAAAGAAAGAGUCUUAAACCAGUCACAAAGUGGACAUGUCUUGGUAAUUGGGAACCACAUGGCUAACAAAAGGUUGGUAAAGAACAGAUUCAGUGUAGCUGGGACAUGGGGCAUGCUUAGAGCCCUGCUACUUGCAGAUCUGGGGAAGGAAGAUGGUUUGAGACCAGGCUGGGCAACACAGUUAGACCUUGUCUCAAACAAACAAAAAAAAAAGAUCGGUAAUCAAUAGAAUGUCACAAAACUAUACAGUUUGAUAAUGAGGAAUAUCUACACAAUUUAUAGUGAAUAUUAUUCUCAAAAUUCUAGAAAAUGGAUGCACUACUCUAUAAUUUCUCUACAUCAAACAUUUUUGGUGAUAACCAUCUACCUCAUAAAAGUGCUACUUUAGAAAAUAUUAAAUUUUGUCUACUCUGUAUGCGCCAGCAACAGUCAAUAUUAACAUUUAAAUUAUUAUUGCUUUUAUUUGUCUUGGGAUUAAUAAAGUUUGGGAAAAUGAGUUUAAUUUCCUAAGUUUCUUUAUAAGAAUGUCCAGCUAUGUAUCUGGCAACAGUCUUAAAGAUGUUUAAAUCAUUUAAUUUAGAAAUUUCAUUUCCAAGCAUUUAUUUUGAGGGUCAACUUACACAAAUGUGCAGCGAUGUGAAGAUGGCAGCAUCUCUGAAAGAGUGUUUAUAAGAAUAUUAUGCAGGCAUGAAAAAGGACACGUGUGCAUUUGCUAGACAUUAAAGAUAAUCAUAGUAGAGUCAUGUCCAUAUAAUAAUAUUUUGGUAAACAAAGGACCACAAAUACAAUAGUCGUCCCAUAAAAUUAUAAAAUUAUAUCACCUGGUGAUGCUGCAGCCACCUUAGGUUGUUGGAGGUACACUAUUUGAUGUCUGCACAAUGGUGCAUCUCUCAGAAUGUAUCUCUGUUGUGAAGUGAUGCAUAUCUUUAUAUUAAUAUGAAAAAGGAAGUUGCAUAGCAUAAUGUAUAAAAUCUAAUUUUGCUGAACUAAAUGUGUAUCGCAGAAUCAUGUAUUUAACAUAAUUAAAUUCAGGUGUUUGGCUUUAUUGUUCUACUCAAUAAGAUGGGGAAGCAGAAUGAAAGUGAAAUGGAAAAUAUACCUAGUUGCCCUGUUGUCUGAGCAUCUCUGCAUAAUGAAUAUUGUCCUAAUUCUCUACUGAAAACCACAUCUUUUGUAUUGCCUGGCUUUUAACCAUGCAAGUGACCAACUUUAGUGCUCUGUUUAUAAGCUGACCUCACCUCACCCACUGUCUCUCAGCUGCAAACUCACUCUUUUGUGCUCUCCUCUGUGACACUGGGUCUGGGACUCAGAAAAUCCCUUUUCUGCUUUGCUUGCUGCUCCUUUUAGGUUCUGCCAACCACAUUAGAUGGCUGGAGGAGGGACAAGGACCUGGCUCUUUCCCUUGUUUGCAGUUUCUCUCACCUUGAUAGUGACAGUUGGUUCUAGGCGUCAGCUUCUUUUGGUGCUUCCAGAACCAGCUCACCUUUUCCAAGGUCCCAGCACUGGCAAGAUACCCCCACCUUGCAAGAGUUCUGCAUCCAGACUCCAUGAGGUCUUUUCCGCUGAGAUUCGGAGACAACGCUACCAGUUGGGCAGUGCCCCCAUAUCAGACAUGUAAAUCUUUGCUCCAAGCCCAUCUUCUGAGCUUUUAGGAUCUGUUAACUCCAAGCUCCUCCCUAGAUCCUUAGACUAGUUGUGGACUAAGCAUCAGCAUCACUUGGGAAAUUCAAAUCCUCAGAAUCUACUUCAGAACUCCUGACUCCCUGGCAGGCAGAGCUUAACACCUUGUGCUUGAGCGACUCCCCAGGGCAUUUUGAUGAAACUCCAGUUUGAGCCACAGCCCUAGGCCCCAGCUCCAGGGAAUGGUGUGCUAAUCCCUGAAGUUAUCAUUCCUGUGGAACCUCUAUUUCCCCCUUCUGACUCUCUCUGUCCUUCAGACCCAUUUAAUCACUAAAUACUUAGUGCAUCUUCUAUCUGACUAAUGCAAGGAACAAUUUAGUUCUUCAUAACAUAGGGUAAAAACUGAAUUUAGUCAAAAUUACCAGUGAAAAAUCCCUAACUUUCCCAGGAGCACAGCAUAGAGGUCUUCCAUGCCUCAGCAAGUCUCCAUAUUCAGCACCAAAAUUGACAGGUGCUGCCUCUUUGGAGAUCAUAUUAAGUAGCUGGCUUGGCUUUAGGGACUAUAUUAUUUGAAAACUAGGUAUUAUUUUUAAGCUUCUAAUAAUAUUCAACACAGUAUGAUGCUUGUGCUAUGAAGACACAUGAAAGCUGAGAACUUUACUGGAUUAGAAGAAGACCUGUAUAAAUCUGGACAAAUUUUCUCUCUGUCAUUUAUUUUUCUUACCAAUCAAAUAAGCAGACUGGACUAGAGCACUGACUUUUAAGAAUUUAAUUGUGGUAAAAUAUUUGUAGCAUAAAACAAAUCAUCUCAACCAUUUGUCACAGGGGUUAAGUACAUUCAUCACCCGUCUCCAUGAACUUUUCAUUUUGCAAACUGCAACUUUGUGCCCAUUGAAGAAUAACUCUAUUGUUCCUUUUACCCCUGGCAACUGCAGUUUGUUCAUGCCUUCAUCCAACGUGGAUGCUCAAGACACUUCCAUCUUUUGGCUACUGUGAGUAGUGCUGUUGCGGACAGGGUGCACACAGCACCGAUUUUGAAACUGUAAUCACUUUAUAAUAAUGUAAGAAUGACAACAGUAACAGUAUCCAGCCUCUAUUGGGCACCAGGUGUCAUUGGCAUUGUUCUAAAUCUUUACAUAUAAUAACUGAGUUCAUACUCCAGUAGCCUCAAGAGUUAGUUUUCUAGGGGAGAAAACUGAAGCCCAGAUAGUUUAAUUAUCCUGCUCGAGGUUAUGCAGUUCUUGUAUGGUAGAACUGGUAAGAGAAUCCCAGCAGUCUGGCUUUAGAGUGAAGUUCUUAACCACACCAUGGUCUGCCUUUGGGGACCACCAAGCCUCUGCAGGAACUGUUUUAGGGAUGGCCCCAAGGCGUCCCUCUACCUCUAUGGGAGCCAUCCUAUGUGUACCUAUUUUAAACACUGAGCUUUGCAGUUUUCUUUUACAUACUGAUUUCUGAAGCUACAAACACAUGAGAAAAAUAUAUAUCACUGACUCAGAUGGCAGAGCUCCUCCUAGUCAAAUAUUCUGUGAGUCUUAAUUUCAUUUUAGUUUUUAAAAAAAACCACAGCACACCCUGGGCAAAGCAGGCCCGUAACCUGGUAACCAUGUUUGUUGAGAGGAAAUACCUGAGCAGAGGGUUCAGCGCACUCCAACGAUUCUGACUCAAAGGUCUGUUUCUGAAGCGUCUUGUGAAAAUCUUUUCGAGAUCCAGUCUUUUUAAAGCCACAAAUCUCGGAACUUCCUUGGUUUCUUUCAUCAUUGAUAUUAUAUAAUUCAGAGAAUGAGCGGGAGGAAGAGAGAGGGAGGGAGAAGCAAAGUCAUUAGAUUAAAAAUAAAAGUAAUGGCCUCAGUGUAGACUUGGUGCUGAAAGAGCUUUCAAAGAGAGGACCAGUGGUAAUUCCUCACAUCUAAUUAAGCACCAGGCCUAACACAAGGCUCUGUUGUAAGGAGAUACAAGCCUGCCUCCUGGCUGGCUCAUUAUUAAAGGCAGGAAUGGCCUGGGAAAAUGCCACUGCAGAGGUGCGGUCAUUUCAGCUGCGGAUACUUGGGCCUAAGCUGAGGCUAAACUAUGACCUUAGUGUAAGAGGCUAGAAUAAAGCUAGCAAUGUGCAGAAGCAGCAAAAAAAGAUCAUUUGAAGAUAAAAAUAGAGAAAACUAUUUCAUCUCCACAUCAGUGUUUCCAAUAAUAAUGAAUUAAAAAAGGCAGGACAUGGUUGAGAAAAAG